CCGACAGGCGUAGUCGAUGGACAUCCGGUUGAUAUUCCGGAACCGGCGAAGAACCGCCCCUGGCGAAUCCAGUGAUGCUAAGCGCCUGAAGCUCACCGCAGAGGUCUUCGGAUCUCAUGGUGGGUGGAACGCGUGACCCGAUCUGGUAGUAGCCAAGCGAUGGGGAGACACAGGAAGGUAGCCUCCGCGUGGCGAUGGUUGUCCACGUCCAAGGGUGUAGGGAGUCAGGUAGGUAAAUCCG
rnacentral:rRNA from 15 species